GACAGAGGUGCCGAGCGUUAGGCGGAAUCACUGAGCUUAAAGCGUGUGUAGGCGGAUGGGUAAGUACCUUGUGAAAUCCCACGGCUCAACCGUGGAACUGCUCGGUAUACUGCUCGUCUUGAGCCAACUAGGGGCGACCGGAACAAACGGUGGAGCGGUGAAAUGCGUAGAUAUCUAUCGGAACGCCGAAGGUGAAAACAGGCAGCUGGGCUUGAUCUGACGCUGAGGUACGAAAGCGUGGGGAGCGAACGGG
rnacentral:rRNA from 1 species